CUGGCGAGGCUAUAACUGACGCUAAAGCUCGAAGGUGCGGGUAUCGAACAGGAUUAGAUACCCUGGUAGUCCGCACGGUAAACGAUGGAUGCCCGCUGUAUGCGAUAUAGUGUAUGCGGCCAAGCGAAAGCGUUAAGCAUCCCACCUGGGGAGUACGCCGGCAACGGUGAAACUCAAAGGAAUUGACGGGGGCCCGCACAAGCGGAGGAACAUGUGGUUUAAUUCGAUGAUACGCGAGGAACCUUACCCGGGCUUGAACUGCCAGCGAACGAUACAGAGAUGUUGAGGCCCUUCGGGGCGCUGGUGGAGGUGCUGCAUGGUUGUCGUCAGCUCGUGCCGUGAGGUGUCGGCUUAAGUGCCAUAACGAGCGCAACCCCUGCGACUAGUUGCCAUCAGGUUAUGCUGGGCACUCUGGUUGGACUGCCACCGUAAGGUGUGAGGAAGGUGGGGAUGACGUCAAAUCAGCACGGCCCUUACGUCCGGGGCCACACACGUGUUACAAUGGGGGGCACAGCGAGCUGGAGCAGGGCGACCUGCUUCGAAUCAUGAAAUCCCCUCCCAGUUCGGACCGGAGUCUGCAACCCGACUCCGCGAAGCCGG
rnacentral:rRNA from 1 species